UACAGAGGGUGCGAGCGUUGUUCGGAAUUACUGGGCGUAAAGCGCGCGCAGGCGGCCUUUUAAGUCUACCCGUGAAAUGCCGGGGCUCAACUCCGUGCACGCCGGGGGAUACUGGGGAGGCUGGAGACAUGUAGAGGCAAGCGGAAUUCCGGGUGUAGCGGUGGAAUGCGUAGAGGAGUCCGGAAAGAACACCUGAGGCGAAGGCGGCUUGCCUGGGCAUGAUCUGGACGCUGGAGGCGCGAAAGCGUGGGGAGCAAAGCAGGAUUAAGAAACCCUGAGUAGUCCGAGAACCAAACGU
rnacentral:rRNA from 1 species